UCCAUAAAGCAUUUUGAUUUAUUAUUUCCUUUACACCCAGGAACAGGUGCUCCAGGUUAGAGUUUUAACUUUCCAGUGUUUUAAGAACUUCAACAAGUCAUAUCCAUGCAUCAUAAUACUAGUUUCAUUUGUUAAUGAUAAAGCAUUGUACAGUAUUAGCAAUUAAAAACAAUAAGGUGUGCGUCAAUGAGGCAGCCUCGCCUAUGCCACGUCAAUUUUACUGUGUUGAAGGGGGAGAGUAAAAACCGCAUCGACUGAUCCAUCCUGCUCUCACACGUCUCCUCUCGUCUCCUUUCUCACGAGACCUCUCUCGCCCCGCGACUCCUCGCCGCCACCACCACUCACGACGGCCGAUUCCGGCGAGUCCCGGCGGCGUGUGGCAGACCAACGACCUCCCCUCGCCCCUCUCCUUCCUCCCAUCCCUCCAGAUCCGUCGCCUGAGGCCUCCCACGCUCGCUCCUGACUCUCAGCGGUGGCUAGGGUUUCAGGCGCGGCGUCCCCUUCAUCGCCGGCGAGGCUCUGACGGCCUAUAGCGGCUCGUCUCCGUCGCCUCCCCCGACCCCCACCCCCCACGUGUGGCUCCGCCUCAUGGAUGUUCCUUCCGCGCCCGAUGGCCAUGAGAUGAUAACCCCAUCAAGAGGUUCCUCCAGGAGGUCGGCACCUACGCCCUCGCCGUGUGGCCGCUGGACGAGGGUCUGGUCCGGUACGUGCUCGAGCACCCUUGUUCACCGCGCUCACAGGCCUCAUCUGCAAGGAAGGUCUCUGCUAUGGUAAGCUGGAAGCUGACAUCUUUGACGUUUGUUGUCCCCAUCCUUGGACAAGACUCACUUCCUCCACGCCCUCUUGAAGAGUUAUGUAUUUCCUGUUCAUUAGCUAUUCUACAAAACCUGUUCAUUCGUAAUUGGUAUCAACCAAUUAACUGGCAUCAUCACAUAACAUAACUGUAAUGUAGUUUGUCUUAGUCUGAGUUUUUGUCUGUCGUGUGCUUGCAACCGCAUCGGUAAGUUCCCUGGCUCCCAAAUGAACUAUACUAUACUUUCUCUGGUGUAAAUUCAUAGCAUGCUCAUGUAAACGAACACCACCUUGCGGAUAGAACAGGUUCAUCGUGCAACUCUGGAAGAUGGCAGAGAAGUAGUUGUGAAAGUUCAGCAUGAUGGUAUCAAAAGAGAUCAUACUAGAGGUUGCUCUCAAGGGAUUUGCCAAUUUUUUCAAGGAAUCAAGCGACGAGGAUUAUAGGACACAUAGAGAAGCUCAUGGAGUACCAGCAAUCUAUUUCAGUACCUCUCAAAUUGCUAAUUUUGAUUGGUCCAUAUGGAUGCCUCACAUAGCAAUAAAGAAGGAUUAUAGGUUCAUUAAUAUAGUUGAAGAGGAAGACGAGGUGACACAUUCAUAGGCUUAGAUCCAUCAAUAUUUUAUGAGCUGUAUGGUCUCCUCCGUCCCAUAAUAUAAGAGAGCGUUUUUUGACACUAAUGUAGUGUAAAAAACGCUCCUAUAUUAUGGGACGGAGGAAGUAGUAUUUAAAGCAAGAAAGUACCUUACAUUAGUGAUGCUGCAUCAGGUUAGCCAGAUGUAUAUGAUUGCACCACUUGAUCUGCACUUCUCUAUAUUAUAUAAUGUACUGAAGAAGCAUGUCACAGAUGAUGCGGACUACAAAGCAAGUUAUCUUAGCAGGUAGUUUCUAUCAUGUAUAUUCAAGACUUAUAAACAAUUAUCAUAUGCCUCUGCACCAGUGAAUUCAUCCCCCUCCUCGUCCUCUCUACUCCAUUCGAGCUCUAACCCUCACCUCUAUUUCGGUCUCUCUUAGAUUUGGUGCAGCGGCCGCCUCUCUCUCUCUCUCUUGAUUCAAUCCCCCCAAAAAAUCUCAUAUUUGGUUCUGUGCCUACAAGGUAUCCGAUGAAAGAGCCUGUACAUAUGUGAUGUUUAUAUUCGUACAUAGUACCUAUUAUCUGUCUUUUAGUUUCAGUCGAUUUCUUUAAUUUUGUGGCAUUUUCAAUUUCAAGAUGUUACUUCAGGAGCUGAAGUAGAAAAUGAAGGCUGUUGCGCGGAUGUUGGUCUGGAGCACCACUCAGAGGCCUUGUUAUCGAGUGGGAGUAUCAGAAGGUAAUGGGAGGUGAUGCCGAGUGGAUCGAUGACAGUUGUGCCGUGUUUCCCCUCCUCACAGACGCUUCAGAACGACAUCUCAACAUGGCAUCGGUGGAGGAGAGGAUCACUGUCGUGCGCCUAGUUAAGGGAACAGGCUGAGGUCCUCAUUCGACCUUAAUUUCAAGCCUUUAGGUAGGCUAGGAGGCGGGUAACCGCCGCCACGAGCAUGAUCCCCUCCUUGCUGGCGGUCUCAGCGACAGCUUCGUCGCCGUAUGGAACCCGCCGCCGCCGCCGCCACGGCCACCACCGCGUCCGAGAGGAGCGGCACACCAACUCACAACAGGACUUCCUCAGCUGGUUUACUCUCUUUUUUUCUCCGGUUUCAUGCUUUGCGCAACAUGUCUGGUGUCACUUGGAUUUUGGUUGAGCUGUGGGGCUGAACCGCGGAUCUGAUCCAGAUUAUUUCAGCCUGGAUUUUGUCUUCCUUUCUACCUCCUAUUUCACUUUUGGUUGGUUCUUCUUGCUUCUGCUGCUCUUUUGCAGUUUUGGCUGGUUGCUAGGUGUUUGUUCCUUGGACUCUAGCUAUCUCAUUUUUCUUCCUCUUUCUCCUUUUGUUUUUCUUUUCUUGGUUAGAAUGAAUUGUUUAUGGACUGUUCUGCAUAUACUGAUUUUGGUGUCAGCUCAAGGUAAAAGGCAAAGGCUGAAGGUAAGAAAUCAUCAUUAGCUAGGUAGCCGCACAUGGUCUGGUUUCUUAGCAUAAUUUGGAAGUACCAAAUGCACUACUCAAUAUUAGUACUCAUUUAAAAAAUAUGCCACUGUCUUGUUUGUCAAUUCCAUUUUAUUAAUCUAGAAGAAACCUAGAGCAGAUACUAACACUUUAGAUAACACUUAUACCUAAUACAAUAGUUAAAUAUGACUUCAAUAUCUGAAUUAACAAAUGGAAUUUAUAUUGCGUUGAAGCCAGAUAUAUGAAUACCCUCAAUGGUUACUAGUGUUUCUUACACAAGUAAGAAAGAAAGCUUAAUAUUUAUCUAGAAUGGAAUAUAGAAUCAAGAGCUUGGUAGUAAAAAUUGAAAAUCAUAAAUCAACGGUGGAUAGAAUCACAGUUAACUAAAAUGAUCAGGCGCUAUUUCUUUCCUUAUAGUAUUGAAAGUUUUGUUAGUGCCAAUGCAUCUGCAUACAGAGUUGUGAUAUUUUCCAAUUGAAAGGUAGCAAUGUCUGAACCUAAAUGGUUGCCAUACAGUUAACUUCGGUGUUUGUCUAAUGCUUAUUUAACUUAAAUGACCUGAUAAUUGAUGCACAUCUGUUUUCACCCUUUAUCCUGAAGAAUUGUUGCAUGCUCGUGUUGUGUGCUUACACCUAAGGUUCAUGUAACCGGUUUUCUUUCUGGUUAUUGUCAACGGAAGCAGCUGAUAAAUAUGAAUUCAGAGGAAGCAGCUUAUAAAUAGGGACACUACUGUUACUAUUUCUCUAGGUACUCACUUUUCUUGCAUUUUCCUUUUAUUUUCUUGGAUGCAGGGGCUGGCUGCUUUGUGUACCCUGCAUAUAGCAGAGUAGCAACUGAGUUACAUAUACUGAGAGCACGAUGAAUAAUCAGUAUCUACUGGUUGCAUGGACACUAGGCCCCGCCGUGUUUCAGUCCAAAUAUAUCCACUGAACAAUUGUUUGGAUGCAGUCUAUUUUUGUUUCUUGUAGUGUCAGUUCAAAUAGGCGUCAAGAAUAGUGCCAAAGAUGGUUAAAGGCUAGCAUGCCAGUAUUGUAAAUUUAGUUAGAUGGAUCUACACAUUGGGCACCAUUGCUGAAUCAUGAAAAACAUAAAUGAUUUUAGUUUUCUAGGUUGUUGGUCGGUAUACCCUAAAUAGAUCAUCCAUUUCAUGGUCAGUUUGCUUAGUUGUAUGUCGGCAUAGCCCUGAUAUGAUCAUUUGUUUUCUGCUCGCCAUGGAUGAUUUAUUCCUGUUUUGAUUGGAGUGCGUCGUUAGUCUAACUUCUAACUAGCAUAUGCACACACUUUUUAAGAAAGCCAAGAGGGAAAAGGGAAAACUAUUACAUGUGUCUAUCUAUCCAAACAACAUAAAUCGAGACUUUUAUCUUGCCAGAACUUCUUAUUGUUGUGUUCAUCUUCUUGAAUACAUCUUUUUAACGUCAUCCUAUUUUUAUUCCAGUUGUUUACAGGUCACCCCUUUGUUGAUUGUUGUUGGGUGCCCAAGCCAUUAGAAAAGAGUGAUGCCUCAAUCAAGGUAGAUCCGAGGAUAGAACCUAGGGUGGCUACCAUCGAUGGUGCUAGCCAGCAAGCUCCUGGGUGACUCCUCGAUGUUGACCAUUGUUGGUUUCCUUCGUGGCUAUUGUAAAAUGGCGCUUCAUAUCUCACAUUUCUAUAUCUGAAUUUUUUUUGGGUCUCAUGUUUAUGUAUCUGCGGGUUUGCCAUACAUUUGUAUUUGAACACUUGUACACUAGCUCUGUAUUUGCCUACGGUGCUCUCUUCCCUCUAUCUGGUUAUGACGUGAAAAUAGGAUUUGUAAGUCAAUGGGCCUCACAGGACGCAGCUGCGGCUAAGACAAGGACAUGUUGAAGCAGCACCAUCCAUUGUCGUGCUCCUCGACAUUGAGAAGAAGUCACUCCCGAGUCGUCUAUGUACCACCUCCAGGGCAUGUCAAGAACUGGUAGCCAAGGAUCUCCAUGGAACUGAGUGGCAUUUAUUGGUGAUUUUACAAUUUGAGCAUUCAGUUUGAAGCCCCUUUAAAUUUCCAGUCGUUGUGUUCUUAUAGUUUUGGUGUAGCACUUCAUGUCACAAUUGAAUACUGAAUUCAUUACUUCAUGAAUAUGUGUUGCCUCUUUCCCUC